rnacentral:rRNA from 1 species
UACGGGGGGGGCAAGCGUUGUUCGGAAUUACUGGGCGUAAAGGGUCUGUAGGUGGCUUGCUAAGUCAGACGUGAAAUCCCUCAGCUUAACUGGGGAACUGCAUUCGAUACUGCCGUGCUUGAGGACUGGAGAGGAGACUGGAAUUUACGGUGUAGCGGUGAAAUGCGUAGAUAUCGUAAGGAAGACCAGUGGCGAAGGCGGGUCUCUGGACAGUUCCUGACGCUGAGGCACGAAGGUCAGGGGAGCAAACGGG